UUUUCCUCUUCAAUUAAUGACUGGUUUUCUACUUUCAUGCAGGACUCCCCUAUCUUUAAUUUUUUCAACAAUCUUUCCCCAAUUAAGUCCAUGCUCAUCACUCAAACAACCAAUCCUCUUAGUCUUUGAAUCGCUUCCAUCUGUUUUCACUCCCCCCACCUUAGUUCACUGAAGGAAUAGAGAUUUCUCAGGAGUUAUAUUACCAUUGGGUGGAUAUUAACGACAUGAGAUACUCAAGAAGAAGAUCCUGAAGCAUACGAUGCAACAGCUAUAAAAUUUCGAGGGGUUAAUGCAGUAACCAACUUCGUUAGCUCAAAAUAUGACGUACAAAGUAUUAUGGCAACCAGUACCCUCUUUCAAGGGAAAUGGCUUAAAAAAACAAACACAUGGAUUCAAGCAACAAGAUAUCA